rnacentral:rRNA from 1 species
UAGGGAAUAUUGCACAAUGGGCGAAAGCCUGAUGCAGCAACGCCGCGUGUGUGAUGAAGGCCUUCGGGUCGUAAAGCGCUUUUCUGGGAGAUGAGAAAGGACAGUAUCCCAGGAAUAAGUCUCGGCUAACUACGUGCCAGCAGCCGCGGUAAAACGUAGGAGGCGAGCGUUAUCCGGAUUCACUGGGCGUAAAGCGCGUGCAGGUGGCGCGGUAAGUUAGGCGUGAAAUCUCCCGGCUCAACUGGGAGAGGUCGUCUAAUACUACCGUGCUUGAGAGCAGAAGAGGAAGAUGGAAUUCCCGGUGUAGUGGUGAAAUGCGUAGAUAUCGGGAGGAACACCAGUGGCGAAGGCGAUCUUCUGGUCUGUUUCUGACACUCAGACGCGACAGCUAGGGUAGUAAACGGGAUUAGAGACCCCGGUAAUCCUAGCCGUAAACGAUGUGAACUUGGCGUUGGUGGUUAAACUCCAUCAGUGCCGUAGCAAACGCGA